GCUCAGAUUGAACGCUGGCGGCAGGCCUAACACAUGCAAGUCGAACGGUAACAGGAAGCAGCUUGCUGCUUCGCUGACGAGUGGCGGACGGGUGAGUAAUGUCUGGGAAACUGCCUGAUGGAGGGGGAUAACUACUGGAAACGGUAGCUAAUACCGCAUAACGUCGCAAGACCAAAGAGGGGGACCUUCGGGCCUCUUGCCAUCGGAUGUGCCCAGAUGGGAUUAGCUAGUAGGUGGGGUAACGGCUCACCUAGGCGACGAUCCCUAGCUGGUCUGAGAGGAUGACCAGCCACAUUGGGACUGAGACACGGCCCAGACUCCUACGGGAGGCAGCAGUA
rnacentral:rRNA from 1 species